GGGGAUUUAGCUCAGUGGUAGAGCGCUUGCCUCAAAAGCGCAAGGCCCUGGGUUCGGUUCUCAGCUCCG
rnacentral:tRNA from 1 species